CCCGCACAAGCGGUGGAGCAUGUGGUUAAUUCGACGCAACGCGAAGAACCUUACCUGGGUUUGACAUCCCGAUCGUACUCCAUGGAAACAUGGGGGUCAGUUCGGCUGGAUCGGUGACAGGUGCUGCAUGGCUGUCGUCAGCUCGUGUCGUGAGAUGUUGGGUUAAGUCCCGCAACGAGCGCAACCCUUGUCCUUAGUUGCCACCAUUCAGUUGGGCACUCUAGCGAGACUGCCGGUAAUAAACCGGAGGAAGGUGGGGAUGACGUCAAAUCAUCAUGCCCCUUAUGACCUGGGCUACACACGUGCUACAAUGGUUGGUACAACGAGUUGCGAGUCGGUGACGGCGAGCUAAUCUCUUAAAGCCAAUCUCAGUUCGGAUUGUAGGCUGCAACUCGCCUACAUGAAGUCGGAAUCGCUAGUAAUCGCGGAUCAGCACGCCGCGGUGAAUACGUUCCCGGGCCUU
rnacentral:rRNA from 1 species